ACUCCUACGGGAGGCAGCAGUGGGGAAUUUUGGACAAUGGGGGCAACCCUGAUCCAGCCAUGCCGCGUGAGUGAAGAAGGCCUUCGGGUUGUAAAGCUCUUUCGGCCGGGAAGAAAUCGCACCUUUUAAUAGAGGGUGUGGAUGACGGUACCGGACUAAGAAGCACCGGCUAACUACGUGCCAGCAGCCGCGGUAAU
rnacentral:rRNA from 1 species